GUAACGUGCGCGNUGGCUAGACAUGCAGUCGUACGGGGCCCGCAAGGGUCCAGUGGCGAACGGGUGAGUAAUGUACCCUUAAAGGGCCCUUCAGUCCGGGAUAGCCGUCCGAAAGGACCGUUAAUACCGGAUGAGACCACAGUCCCGCAUGGGACGGUGCUCAAAGGAGUAAUCCGCUGAAGGAGCGGGCGAUAUCGUAUCAGCUAGUUGGUGAGGUAACGGCUCACCAAGGCGACGACGCGUAGCCGUGCUGAGAGGUCGGCCGGCCACAUUGGGACUGAGACACUGCCCAGACUCCUACGGGGGGCUGCAGUAACGAAUCUUCCGCAAUGCACGAAAGUGUGACGGAGCGACGCCGCGUGGAGGACGAAGUUCUUCGGAAUGUAAACUCCUGUCAGGGGCAGCCAAGUUCUGAGGCGCCCCAGAGGAAGGCACGGCUAACUCUGUGCCAGCAGCCGCGGUAAGACAGAGGUGCCGAGC
rnacentral:rRNA from 1 species